rnacentral:rRNA from 1 species
AACGAACGCUGGCGGCAUGCCUAACACAUGCAAGUCGAACGGGAUCCUGGCUUCGGCCAGGUGAGAGUGGCGGACGGGUGAGUAACGCGUGGGAACCUGCCCAUUGGUCUGGGAUAACUGCGGGAAACUGAAGCUAAUACCGGAUAAUGACGUAAGUCCAAAGAUUUAUCGCCAAGGGAUGAGCCCGCGUAGGAUUAGCUAGUUGGUGGGGUAAAGGCUCACCAAGGCGACGAUCCUUAGCUGGUCUGAGAGGAUGAUCAGCCACACUGGGACUGAGACACGG